AUUGAACGCUGGCGGCAUGCUUUACACAUGCAAGUCGAACGGCGGCGCGGGGCAACCUGGCGGCGAGUGGCGAACGGGUGAGUAAUAUAUCGGAACGUACCCAAGAGUGGGGGAUAACGUAGCGAAAGUUACGCUAAUACCGCAUACGAUCUAAGGAUGAAAGUGGGGGAUCGCAAGACCUCAUGCUCCUGGAGCGGCCGAUAUCUGAUUAGCUAGUUGGUGAGGUAAAGGCUCACCAAGCCGACGAUCUGUAGCUGGUCUGAGAGGACGACCAGCCACACUGGGACUGAGACACGGCCCAGACUCCUACGGGAGGCAGCAGUGGGGGAAUUUUGGACAAUGGGCGCAAGCCUGAUCCAGCAAUGCCGCGUGCAGGAUGAAGGCC
rnacentral:rRNA from 1 species